UCAUAAAUACAAAGUUGUGCAAAAAUUUAUAUUUUGUGCCAAACUUACUUUAAAAAUACGAAUACAACAUUUAUUUUUACGUUUAACAUGUCUCUUGAGAAUACGAAUUUUCCUCGUUUUGAAUACGACUUCUCUCUGUCUUGGAUACGGAUUUCUCCUGUUACCUAACUGUCAAAACUACGUCACGGGGUCACAGGCUUAUGCAUCGAGUGCCGGAACAUCGAGCCGCCGAGCCGGCAAACGACGCAUGCACAUUGCAGUUUAGCACUCAUGGGCUGUCCAAUAACUUUAUUGAACAAACAAAACAACAAAAGCUGUUUUAACUUUGCUAGCUAGUUUCCUGUAGCCUGGCCACCGUAAGUUGAACGUGCUGUGAAUCAUUUAACUCGAAAUGGUUCUGAGUUUUUUUUUAAUUAUUUAACUUUUACUUUUGGAGGAGUUUGAGCAGAUUCAUCGCCGCCACCGGCACUUGUUGGUAUUUUUCCGGCGGAGACAAAACGAUCUGCAGACUAGACCCUGUAAUGCAGAAUCAACCAGUCUCCCAAUCCUGGAGCUGUUUGUCCAACAGUGAAGACCCAAGACCAGACUUCAGAAUGAACAGGAACUCUCCUGCGGUCUUCCUGAACCUCCUUGAUCAGGAUCGGGGACAUCGGCAUCCUCCUGCAGGUGCUGGAGGUGCAUCACACUUCUGUACCUCAUACACAACAUCCUUUUUGUUAUUGUGGUCGCCGUACUCGGGACCCGUAACACGCUCACCAGAGUUUUGACCUCACCACCUUCCUUCACCUGGACUCAUCAUCGUCAGCUGUUUCCCAUCAUCUCAUCACCUCCUCAGCAUAUAGUCUGGCUCCACACUGUCACUCACUGCAAAGUAUUGUUUGUGCCACCCUGCCUGCAACACUGAGCGUUUAUUCCUGGACCUGACCUUCUGCAUCUGACCCUGCUAACUCUGAUUGCAUGCCGCCUGUAGACUCUGACUACUCUUCUCUCUCUUCUCGGAUGAUCCCAUGCCCGUGUAUGACCUCUGCCUGUCUGACCCUGCUUAGUUUUGUGGACUUUUAGUGGAUAAUAAACCUGCUGCACUUUGAA